AGGAUGAACGCUGGCGGCGUGCUUAACACAUGCAAGUCGAACGAUGAUGCCAGCUUGCUGGUGGAUUAGUGGCGAACGGGUGAGUAACACGUGAGUAACCUGCCCUUAACUCUGGGAUAAGCCUGGGAAACUGGGUCUAAUACCGGAUAUGACUCCUCAUCGCAUGGUGGGGGGUGGAAAGCUUUUUGUGGUUUUGGAUGGACUCGCGGCCUAUCAGCUUGUUGGUGAGGUAAUGGCUCACCAAGGCGACGACGGGUAGCCGGCCUGAGAGGGUGACCGGCCACACUGGGACUGAGACACGGCCCAGACUCCGUACGGGAGGCAGCAGUGGGGAAUAUUGCACAAGUGGGCGAAAGCCUAGAUGCAGCGACGCCGCGUGGAGGGAUGGACGGCCGUUCGGGUUACGUAACCUUCGUUACGAGGUAGGAAGAAGGACGAAAGUGACGGUACGUCGAC
rnacentral:rRNA from 1 species